rnacentral:rRNA from 1 species
UACGGAGGGGACUAGCGUUGUUCGGAAUUACUGGGCGUAAAGCGCACGUAGGCGGAUUUGUAAGUCAGGGGUGAAAUCCCGGGGCUCAACCUCGGAACUGCCUUUGAUACUGCAAAUCUCGAGUCCGGAAGAGGUGAGUGGAAUUCCUAGUGUAGAGGUGAAAUUCGUAGAUAUUCGGAAGAACACCAGUGGCGAAGGCGGCUCACUGGCCCGUUACCGACGCUCAGGCGCGAC